rnacentral:ribozyme from 1 species
UUUUUUUUUUUUUUUUUUUUUUUUUUUUGAUGUUGA